UCCGAAUUGGUGUAGUGGCUAACAUUUGACGCUCUCAUGGUCCUUCAUGCUACGAUCCGUCAAGCCCGGGGUUCGAUUCCCCGAUUCGGAG
rnacentral:tRNA from 1 species